ACCCCUGUUACAAUACUUAUCAAGCAGAGGUGGCCCAAGGCAGGUAGUUUUCUAAAAACACAAUGAAAGUUCUUUUUGCUAGGGCCUUGAUCUCUGGUGGUAAACAUACUGUGGGCUAUUAUUUACUUAGUGGAAUAUUAUGUACCUUUUAGGAACAACAAAUCGGAUACCUAAUGAGAGUAUUUAUGAGACCAGCUCAAUCGAUAAAAAUCAGAACAUAAAAUCAUAUGAAAGUAUUAUUGCAACUAAUCAUGUAUUCAAUAUUAAACAUUUACUGUAUGCAAGACACUGUGCUAGGGACUGGGGAUACAGAGUGAAAAAGAUGAAUGUGAUUCUUUACAUAUGAACCUCACAGUUUAAUGAGGGAGAAAGAUAUUAAACAAGUGAAUAUACAGUUAUAAACUGUGACUUAUGCUAUGAGAUAAGGGCGUUGAUACAUAAUAGGGGAACUAAGCUGGUUGGUGUGUGGGGGGGUGUUUGUCAAGGAAACCUUUCUGAGGAAGUGAAGGAAAAACCAGUUAACCAAGGAAAGACUGGGAAAAAGUGUUUUAGAUGGAAACAAAGGAAAAGAAGCACAAAGACAAAAAGCAGUUGAGACUAUCACAGAUGAGGAAGUUCAAGCAUGGUUGAAGCACAAGGAGAAGAGAAUGGUGAAGGCUGAGAGGCCAGAUCACGUGAGGCCUCGGGAUUUAUCAUUCUAAUCCUAUGGGAAGCCACUGAAGCUUUCUUUAUGAGCAGAGGAACGGCAGGGAUCUACAUCUGAAGACCACUUUUGAGCUAUGUGGUUAAAUGGACUGAAAUAACUCAAGAUUAGAGGAAGAGAUGUCGCUUUGGAGAUCAUUGUAGCAAUUGAGGAGAAACAGGUGAAAGUGGUUUAGACUAGAUUUGAAACUGGGUAAAUGAGGGAAAGUGCACAGACUGAACUAUAUCCUGGAGAUGGGAAAAGUCAAAUUUCAAAUUUACUCAUUGAUUUGGGACUAGGGAUGGAAACGUUAACUAUACUCUCCAAACUACCUUUCUUUUCUUUUCUUUUUUUUUAAUCCAGUGCUAGGGAUGAAACCCAGGGUCUUGUGCAUGCAUGCUAGGCAAGCCCUUUACCACUACAACCCCAGCCCCUCCAAAUUACAUUCUUAAAUUAUAGGUAGAUGAUGAAGUCUUUCACUUUGGGUAUGCUCAAAAUGUAGGAAGGAAAAUGUAAAACAACAUUUUAA
rnacentral:lncRNA from 1 species